CCAACUCCCUUACCAAAAUGGCUGACCUUUUAUACCAUAAUAAGAAAAUACUUGUCCAUUUUGUAUUUGCAAUCCUAAUUUAUGGCAAUCCUGCUGCACAAAUGACGUAGCGACUGCUCGAAUCGGACUUUUCUGGACCUUUCUUCUCGGCAGCUAAAGGUCCUGAAGCUUCUGUAACUUGUGCAAGAUUCUCUACUUUAUGCUGGACCCAGUUCUACGAGGGGGCUAAAGGAGGCUUAUCCCCCCCCCCCCCAAUUCAAGCUUGUGCCCUCUCAGUUUUAGUUUUUUGUCCCUAUAUAAAAAUAGAAAAACAUUUAAAAUGAUUGAGUGACAGGUUGGCUGCCCAAAACAAUCGGUAUCUCCGCUGCCCUGUGUCAGCACAAUGGACAGAGCUUGCUGCGGUGUGCGUAGGGGGCUAUGGAAAGCCACUGGGGCGGUUCAAGAUUACCAGUCGGGCUCUGGUGAGGAAGCAGUGCUGGAUGCCAAACUAUCCUGCUCCUCUACUGUUCCUAUGGGGGGCACUCUGCAGGAAUGUCUGCCCUGUGAUGGGGUGUGUGAGUUUAGGCCUACUGUCUGUCUGAGAUCUCAUGAAAGGAGGAUUUGGGACCGGAAAGAGAGCAGAGUGGACGCAAC